rnacentral:lncRNA from 1 species
GUAAUAACCCCAAAAUAUUUUUUUUAUAUAAAAAAGGAUAGAAUAGUCAUUUAAAAUUGAUAUGAGGGGUAAAAUUGGAAGGAAUCAAAAGUUAAUGGCAUAAUAGUAGAUGCGUUGAAGUGUUAGGGGCAAAAAGGGAAGGAAUCAAAAGAUAAUGGCAUAAUUGCAGAUAUAUCGAAGUGGUAAGGGCAAAAUGGGAAAUUAAUAAUAUUAAACAAAGGUGAAUAGUGCUUUGAUGUGAUUUAAUUGGAGGGUUUGAGCUGGCUCACGGGAGUGAAACAGAGAGAAGAGGGGAAGGGUUCUCAGACGACACAGAGAGAAAGAAAAAGAGAAGAAGAAGAAGAAAAAAGAAGAAGGAAGAGGGAUUCGAGGUCGAAGGGAGUCCCGGUUGCACUUCCAGCUGAAGGGAAAAGUGUAGAUCUCCUUCUUCUCUACGCAGGGACCUCGAUUUCCAAAAAGAAAAAGGUAAAUAUCCGUCCCUAUCUAGUCUUUUGAUGACAUUAGGCUAUACAAAGGGUGGAUAUAAUCUAGAGGGGUCGGAUAAGGGUUGUAGAGGUGGUUAAAAGAGGAAGAAUCGGAUUUUAACAAAUUUUUCCGGCACUACGGAAAAACUGUGUCGAAGUCCCAACUUCGGUGAAUUAUUUAGGGGGUCAAAUGGCCUCCGAUGAUGAUGCAUGUUAUCUCUUUGGAAUCCUCUAUGAGUGUAGAAUGUUAGGUAAAAAUUUCAUCAAAUUUGGAGUCCUGAAAGUGGAUCAAAAUUGGGAUGAAGUAACCCACUGUCAGUUCGGGUUACUGUUUAUCCAGGUGGAAAAUAAGGGAUUUCAUGCCAUAAUAGGGUAUUAAGCCUAGAUUAGGCUAAAGGAGACCUUGUACUCGUGCAAGGGAGUCCCUAAUACACAUAAAUGAUGAGUUAAUUAAUAGAAAAAGAAAAAGAGAAAGAAAAGAAAAGAUUUAGGGAACGGAGGAGUUGAAUCAAUUAAAGUUCCCUAUAUUAUAAUUGGCACGUAGAUUAUGACCUUGAUACAAAACUAAAUGUAUUAUAAAUGCAUGUCACAGUUGGGCAAGAAGUUAGGGAGCAAGAAGAAGAAGCCCCUACUGCCUACCAUAAAGUUUUGGAGGCGUAUCAGGGCUGUGCCAGAUUGACAGGUGAGUGGGAGUCAUGUACUUUGCACCAUGAGCAUUCCUUAUUCAUUUUCAUGAAUGUUGCCAGUGUGACUUGAUUCCACCUAAGCCUAUUGAUUAAUUGUUGUUGUAGAUUCCUCUAUAUUUUGUUCUUCAUACUUGAUUAUUCUGUACAUGCAUUCGAGGGAACAUUGAGAGGAAUUACG